GUGAAGUGAUGAUGAAGUUUAUCCAUUCUCUGAGUGCUGCUGCACUGCCCCCCUGCAACACCCAGGUCCCUGUUCUAGGGGCUGUGUGCUGUGCAGCCUCCAGAUUCCCUGCAGCCUCUCAGUGUUCUACUGGGGGCUGUUGGCGUGUCUGGAUGGCUGCCUGCAGGAGUGAAGCAGAGCAGCAGAGCUGGAGCCUCUCUCCAUAGGGAGCUUCAUCUCAACCAAGAUGAGGGAUGCUGUCUGAUCAC
rnacentral:snoRNA from 1 species